CCUCGAUGCGGGAUCGCGCGGCCUUAUGAUUCCCUCUCCCAGCGAGUCACGCAAGAUCGAGCUCUACUCGCCCGCCUUCUAUGCUGCCUGUACUGCUGGUGGAAUCCUCAGCUGUGGCCUCACUCACAUGACCGUCACUCCUCUUGACCUUGUCAAGUGUAAUAUGCAGGUCUCUCUCUUCCUCUCUCUCUCUCUCUGUAUAUAUUUGUUUAUCUCGAUCUGACUUGUUGUCAUUAGGUUUCACUGCUUUCGCUCGAUUGUGUUAUGUUUUGCUCCUUGUCUUCGUUAUUGUUAGAUCUGUGAUUUUCUUUCAAGUAUUUUCCGAUGUUAGGUCGUGAUUCUUGUGUCUUAGUUAAUUAGAUCUGUUAUGUUUUGCUGUUUUCUUUAGUUGAACAAUCGUUGGCCUUGUAUUUCGUGUAAUUUCUAGUUCGAUUGCGUAUUUUUUUUUGUAGUUUCUGAUGUGCGCUAUUCAUGUAUUUCUAGUUUAGUGAGUCUGCUAUAAGUUUUUUAGAUUUUGUAGUUGUAGUAGCGUUUUACUGCGUUGACGUGCUGAGUUUGAUUCCGCGGGAGAAUCAUAUUCUUCGUUGGGCGCAUCAUUAGGUGAGGACAUGGAAGUUUGGUCCAUUAUGAAGUGCUGAAUUUGUUAUUGGUGUCGUGAUUUGUGCUGUGACUUUAAGGAUCCAGGUCCUCUAGAGUAGGUAAUCUGUGUUGUUGAUGAUGAAAUUUAAUUGUUGAUGUUACUUGGACUCGCACAUGAACAACAAUUUAUGGAUGUGUUGGAAUAUCAAGAGUUAGAUUUCUCAUCAACUGCUGAUGUUUAUUGUCUUUGUAUACUUUUGAGGAGACAGAACCUAAAUCAUGUUUACUUGUUGAUUUCAGAUCGACCCUGCUAAGUAUAAGAACAUCUCGUCUGGGUUUGGUGUUUUGCUCAAGGAGCAGGGCUUCAAGGGCUUUUUCCGUGGUUGGGUGCCUACCUUGCUUGGUUACAGUGCCCAGGGUGCUUGCAAAUUCGGAUUCUACGAGUUCUUUAAGAAGUAUUACUCUGAUAUUGCUGGCCCAGAGUAUGCGAGCAAGUACAAGACCUUGAUCUACCUUGCUGGUUCCGCUUCUGCGGAGGUUAUUGCUGAUGUUGCUCUUUGCCCUUUCGAGGCUGUGAAGGUCCGUGUCCAAACACAGCCUGGUUUUGCUAGGGGUUUGGCUGAUGGGCUCCCAAAAUUUGUGAAAUCUGA
rnacentral:lncRNA from 1 species